GUGCGAGACCGAUAGCGAACAAGUACCGUGAGGGAAAGAUGAAAAGAACUUUGAAAAGAGAGUUAAAGAGUACCUGAAACUGCUGAAAGGGAAGCGAAUCGUAUCCAGUGUCUAUAAUCUGCGGCAUAUUUCAUUGGCGGCAGUGUGCGUGCUUUUGCGUCGGAAGCGGCUUUUGUUGCUCUGUGCUUUUGCUGUGCGUGCUGUUGCUGGUGCCCUGUGUUGCGGUGGGACGUCAGAGUCAGUUCGUAUGCUGCGGGAAAUGGCCGCCGAGGAGGUAGGUCAGGACUUCGGUCUUGGCUGUUAUAUCUUGGUGGUUUGUUGUCGUGGUUGGGACUGAGGUGCCUACAAUGUGCUUUUGAGUGUGCCGGGUUCUCAUUUGGUGGACUGUUUGGAUAGCUUGCUAUGCUUGUGGUUUUUUCAUCGAGUGAUUGAGUCUGGUGGUAAAUUGUUGCUGUUCGGGACUUUGA
rnacentral:rRNA from 2 species